rnacentral:rRNA from 1 species
UACGUAGGGUGCAAGCGUUUAAUCGGAAUUACUGGGCGUAAAGCGUGCGCAGGCGGUUCGCUAAGACAGAUGUGAAAUGCCCGGGCUUAACCUGGGAACUGCAUUUGUGACUGCAUGGCUAGAGUGUGUCAGAGGGGGGGUAGAAUUCCACGUGUAGCAGUGAAAUGCGUAGAGAUGUGGAGGAAUACCGAUGGCGAAGGCAGCCCCCUGGGAUAACACUGACGCUCAUGCACGAAAGCGUGGGGAGCAAACAGG